rnacentral:rRNA from 1 species
AUUGAACGCUGGCGGCAUGCCUUACACAUGCAAGUCGAACGGUAACGGGCCUUCGGGUGCCGCCGAGUGGCGAACGGGUGAGUAAUACAUCGGAACGUGCCCGAUCGUGGGGGAUAACGAGGCGAAAGCUUUGCUAAUACCGCAUACGAUCUACGGAUGAAAUCAGGGGACCGCAAGGCCUUGCGCGGACGGAGCGGCCGAUGGCAGAUUAGGUAGUUGGUGGGAUAAAAGCUUACCAAGCCGACGAUCUGUAGCUGGUCUGAGAGGAUGAUCAGCCACACUGGGACUGAGACACGGCCCAGACUCCUACGGGAGGCAGCAGUGGGGAAUUUUGGACAAUGGGCGCAAGCCUGAUCCAGCCAUGCCGCGUGCAGGAUGAAGGCCUUCGGGUUGUAAACUGCUUUUGUACGGAACGAAAAGCCUUCUUUUAAUACAGGAGGGUCAUGACGGUACCGUAAGAAUAAGCACCGGCUAACUACGUG